rnacentral:antisense_RNA from 1 species
UUUGGCGUUCGGGUUGUUGUCGACGAUGGCGUUGCCCACCGCAUGCAGCAAGUGCGUUUUACCCAAACCGGUCCCGCCGUA